rnacentral:lncRNA from 1 species
AUUAAUCGCGAUUCAUUUUUUUAAUCUCUUGACAGCCCUAAAACUUAUCUAUAUUUUUGUCUCCACUUGUAGCUAGGAGAAACUAAUUCACAUUUCCCUGGGCUGCUACAGGAGAUGGUGGAAACUGGCAAAAGCAGCAGUGCAGUGCCACAGAACAAUGAUGGUUUCUGCUACCCUGGCUGCAUACUCGCUAUCAAAUUCCCCCAAGGGAGAGAAAGCAAGCAAACGCCUUAGAGUUAUCUACGAAAUUCACAAAAAGUCACUUCUUUGUAAAUUAUUAUGUGCCAGGAAAACAUCAAGAGAAAUAGUCUCAAGAACACAGGCAAAGGAAUCUGGGAGAAGGAAUAUGGGUCUUCAAAACAAAUGCUGUAGUGCUAUAGGCAGUAAAUCUCAUUAACGGGACUUUGUGUCAAGGCAGAAACCAGUAUAGUGACAAUAAUAAUCCCAUUUAUUUACAUAGCGCCAAAUAUAUCGUUGCCACUUUCCGAUAAAACAAAGGCAGAUUCCUCAAUGGCAGAGGGCGGAUCGAAGGACCCAAUCAGUUUCUUCCAUCCCUAACUUCUGUGAAUCUCAGAUAAAUAUACCACUUUGGAGAGAGGGGAGUGGGGGAAUCUCCGAUCUCCAUUAGACACUCAGCUCCAAGUUAGAGACAACAAGCGUUUCCCCUUCAGGCCCCAGAGGAAGGAAAUCAAUGCAUCUGCAGAGAAAGAAGAAGCCAUUGAGUUGUUUUGAAUGAAAAUGUGAUUGGGUUGUGGGGUUUUUUAGAGGAUUGAUCUAAAAGGAGAGUGAGGAGACAAGAAAGGGAGACAGAAGACAUUGGCCUGCUGCUGUCUGACUGGCAGAUUCCAGUUAACACCUUAUCAGCAGAGCAGCAGGCAGCAGCAAAUCCUCGCCCGCUGAAGCUACACAGCGAAAGGAAGAGGGGAGGGUGUUCUGUAACCAGGGACGACAACAGCAACACUCCACAGAGCUACCGGGAGGAUAGAGAGAGAGACACACACACAAUAACCUUCCUUCCCAGGCUGUGCAAGCAAGGGCAGGGGAGGAAAAACAAAUCCACCUGCAGUGUUUCAUUUUUUAUGAAGAGAAACCAUGACUGAAAUGUAACCACAGCUCUGGUCGCUGUAAAAAAACCGAACCCCAAAGCCCUCUCCCCAAGUGUAAUGUAGCAAUUCUGUUGGUUAGCGUUAUUCUUCAAUUGAAGAGUGGGGUAAACUCCUCCAGGACUGAAAUCCCAUCUCCCAGAAGGUGGGAGCACCACUAAAACAAAAGCAAUUCUUCCCUCUCCCCCUUACUCCAUUGCUGCUGCUGCUUUUGUGUUUUUUAAAGAAACAUUGUUCUAGGAAGGAGAGGAGAUUGGAAGAAGAACCCGAGGUGAUUUUGAAUUGUUUUUAAAG